UGCGUAGGUGGUUUCUUAAGUCAGAGGUGAAAGGCUACGGCUCAACCGUAGUAAGCCUUUGAAACUGGGAAACUUGAGUGCAGGAGAGGAGAGUGGAAUUCCUAGUGUAGCGGUGAAAUGCGUAGAUAUUAGGAGGAACACCAGUUGCGAAGGCGGCUCUCUGGACUGUAACUGACACUGAGAUGCGAAAGCCAGGUAGCAACG
rnacentral:rRNA from 1 species